GGGCGGUUAGCUCAGUUGGUAGAGCACAUGCCUUACAAGCCUGGGGUCACAGGUUCGAGCCCUGUACCGCCCACCA
rnacentral:tRNA from 1 species